rnacentral:misc_RNA from 1 species
UCAAACUUGGUCAUUUAGAGGAAGUAAAAGUCGUAACAAGGUUUCCGUAGGUGAACCUGCGGAAGGAUCAUUAGUGAAUGAACUUGGUCAAGUUGUUGCUGGUUCUUUUAGAGCAUGUGCACACUUGGCUCUCGUUUCUAAACCACUUGUGCACCUUUUGUAGACUUGGGAGUUUGAUUCAAGAGUGAUCUUGGACCUUACGCUCUUGUCUAUGUCUUUUCAUGUCAUUUACUCUGUGUAUAAGAAUGUUUUCUAAGGUAUUUUUGAUGCCUUUAAAUCAUAUACAACUUUCAACAACGGAUCUCUUGGCUCUCGCAUCGAUGAAGAACGCAGC